rnacentral:rRNA from 1 species
UACGAAGGGGGCUAGCGUUGUUCGGAUUUACUGGGCGUAAAGCGCACGUAGGCGGAUCGAUCAGUCAGGGGUGAAAUCCCAGAGCUCAACUCUGGAACUGCCUUUGAUACUGUCGAUCUGGAGUAUGGAAGAGGUGAGUGGAAUUCCGAGUGUAGAGGUGAAAUUCGUAGAUAUUAGGAAGAACACCAGUGGCGAAGGCGGCUCCCUGGCCCAGUACUGACGCUGAUGCGCGAAAGCGUGGGGAGCAAACAGG